rnacentral:rRNA from 1 species
UUGACCUCNAAUCAGGUAGGACUACCCGCUGAACUUAAGCAUAUCAAUAAGCGGAGGAAAAGAAACUAACAAGGAUUCCCUAGUAACUGCGAGUGAAGCGGGAAAAGCUCAAAUUUAAAAUCUGGGGGUCUUGCGGCCGUCCGAGUUGUAAUCUGGAGAAGGGUUUAUCCGCGUCGGACCGUGUACAAGUCUUCUGGAAGGGAGCGUCCUAAAAGGUGAGAAUCCCGUCUUUGACACGGACAACCGGUGCUUUUGUGAUGC